UACAGAGGUCCCAAGCGUUGUUCGGAUUCACUGGGCGUAAAGGGUGCGCAGGUGGGUUUGCAAGUUCGAUGUGAAAGCCCCGGGCUUAACCCGGGAAUGGCAUUGGAUACUGCAGAUCUGGAGGAUCGGAGGGGGGACUGGAAUUCUUGGUGUAGCAGUGAAAUGCGUAGAUAUCAAGAGGAACACCAGUGGCGAAGGCGAGUCCCUGGACGAUACCUGACACUGAGGCACGAAAGCCGGGGGAGCAAACAGG
rnacentral:rRNA from 1 species